rnacentral:rRNA from 1 species
AGAGUUUGAUCAUGGCUCAGGAUGAACGCUAGCGGGAGGCUUAACACAUGCAAGCCGAGGGGUAUAGUUCUUUCGGGAACUAGAGACCGGCGCACGGGUGCGUAACGCGUAUGCAACUUGCCCUACUGAAAAGGAUAGCCCUUCGAAAGGAGGAUUAAUACUUUAUAAUAGAAAUCAUGGCAUCAUGAAUUUUUGAAAGAUUUAUCGCAGUAGGAUAGGCAUGCGUAAGAUUAGUUAGUUGGUGAGGUAACGGCUCACCAAGACGAUGAUCUUUAGGGGGCCUGAGAGGGUGAACCCCCACACUGGUACUGAGACACGGACCAGACUCCUACGGGAGGCAGCAGUGAGGAAUAUUGGACAAUGGGUGGAAGCCUGAUCCAGCCAUCCCGCGUGUAGGAUGACGGCCUUAUGGGUUGUAAACUACUUUUAUCUGGGGAUAAACCUACUUACGUGUAAGUAGCUGAAGGUACCAGAAGAAUAAGCACCGGCUAACUCCGUGCCAGCAGCCGCGGUAAUACGGAGGGUGCAAGCGUUAUCCGGAUUUAUUGGGUUUAAAGGGUCCGUAGGCGGAUUAAUCAGUCAGUGGUGAAAUCUCAUAGCUUAACUAUGAAACUGCCAUUGAUACUGUUAGUCUUGAGUGAUGUUGAAGUUGCUGGAAUGUGUAGUGUAGCGGUGAAAUGCUUAGAUAUUACGCAGAACACCAAUUGCGAAGGCAGGUGACUAAACAUCAACUGACGCUGAUGGACGAAAGCGUGGGGAGCGAACAGGAUUAGAUACCCUGGUAGUCCACGCCGUAAACGAUGGAUACUUGCUGUUGGAUUUUCGGAUUCAGUGGCUAAGCGAAAGUUAUAAGUAUCCCACCUG